rnacentral:lncRNA from 1 species
UUCUGCUGUUUGAUGCCCUGUUGUUUGUGUUUUUUUUUCUUCUGCUGCAGUUUAGCUCAUACAGGGUGAUGAAGAUCAUUAUUAUGCAUUACUUUUUCUUUCUUUAAUUUAUGUAUUAGUAUUAAAACAGACUGAAUUAUACAUAUUGUGCUUAUUUUAGUUAUAAUACACGUUAGACUGUGAAGAGGACGGGAAGCAAACAGAACUACAUUUCUGGGUCUGCAGGAUUCCUUAAACAAUAGCUCUGAGAAGCAAAGUGUGCAAAAAAAGGUAUUGGAUGACCUAUAUAAUUUACAGCAAAUGAUACGCAAUUUGGAUGUCAGAGUGAGCAGACCCCAGUUUGUAGGCAGGAUAUAAUAAAACAUCAGACUUUGGCCAUUUGUCUGAUUUUGAAAAUCUUUCAUUUCAAGAAAAAAUGAAAUGUUUCCAUGGAGAUCAGCCAGAGAUAGCCAAAUGACGAACUUCUUGGCUGUACUUUCAGUUUGGUUUCUAUGGUUUCCAGACGAGGAGGUGGAAAAAGUGAAGUUGCUGAGGAAAAGUCUGCUUUUAAUCCCUCUCUGCGUCACAGAAAGGACUGGACAAUCUCUAGUUUUCAAAUGUCCUUUAAGGGUGGCAUACUUCUAACCCUUAAGAUGUGCAAUCUGUAUGCAGUAACUGCCAGUGCCCUUAUUAGACAUGCAUCCUGCAGCACCUGUGACCUGCAAGGAAGAUGGCUUGCUCUUCAUGCUGUAAUCUAGUGACUGAUGCUGCCACAGAGCUAGGAGGUGGCUGUACUCUGGCUGUGUGCAAAUAAUCCUGACAGAAGGAGGAGAUGCAGAUUCCAGUGGAGCAGAAAUAGAUCUAUGGCCACCCUCUGGCUGAAAGUGUGGGUGUUACUUCCCUCCUCUGCACAUCUUUCAGUUGAGAUAAAAUGGUGUACCAAAAAUUAACUUAAAAGAUCCCUGUCUCCUCAGCUAAAUAUUUAUGCAAUAAUCCCUAUGGCCUAGAAGGGAAGAAUACACUAGGGAGCACAAGGCUUUUACCUCUGCUUGAAACCCUGGGCUAUCCCAAAUUAUCUGAACUUUGCAGGUGGAAUGGUGGUUUUUACCCUCCCAGGGAAACCAUUUUCACCUGGGCUUGUGACUGUGCUCUACCUCUUUUAACAUAGCAGAAAGGGCAUCUCAGCCUAAAUUUUCUUACUGUGCUUUGAGAUGCCUGUGGAAAUGCCUGUUGUGUUUAUGGGUCUGCCAACAGUAAAAGGAAGAAAAGAUUCUCAUGGUAAGUCUGAAGGUUUGGCUUUCAGACGAAGAAUUAGAAGUAAGAGGCAGCAGGUAAAACAGAUCUCACAUGGACUCCAGCUUAAAUUUAAAGACAAGUUGAUUUACUUAUUUGAUUGGGCUUAAAAUAUCUAACAUAAUUUUGGGAAAAUGAUCAUGGUCUACUAAGUCAGAAGAGCCCAGAAAGCUGGUAAAAUAAAAAUGUCAUGGUGUGGUGAAGGUUGGCUUUCCUCAAAUGAUUUUUUUCUUAAACCUGGGAGAGCCUGGACAUAUGCUGAGGUACUCAGCCUGAUUAAUGCUACUAGGUAUUCACCAGCCUUCACCACAAAAUCCCUUCUCAGACAGUAAUACCAAAUAUUCUUGCUUUUCUAAUUACUUAAAAAUAUAUAUUUGUAGCAUGAUAUAGGAAACAAAUGAUCUUGGAGGUGGUUAUCUGAAUCAUUUUAUUAUAAACACUGAACAAUUAAAUUCAAAGUAUUUAUAGACAUUUGAUUGAACGUUUCAAAUAAAUACAGUUUUUCAUUUGAUGCUUUCUUUUCAGGAGACUAUGUUGAAAUAUCCUUUGUAUCAUAAAAUUUAAUGCUCUGCUUUAGUAGUUUCAAAGCUCAAGUAUUUAUGCUUAUGGAUAGACACAUGUAGACAUAGCAGAAAUUCUGUCCCAAGUGAUUCUGACACAGCACCUCUUUUCCUUUGGCCAUAGCAGGGUUCAGUCAUACUUGGUCCCACUUUGCAUGAGCCCUCAGAGGUCAGUGCUUCAUUUGCAUGAUUUUAAUAACCUGUGCAACCCAGUGAGUUCACACUAUGUAGAACUGGAAAGAGAUUUGUUGGUGUGAAGAUUUCUCACUGCAAGGGCAGAAGGAAUUCAGAGGAGGGAGGGGAAAAAUAUGUUGCAUAUGUGUGCUGUGUAGGAAGUGUAUUUGGGACUAAGGAGAUUCCCUGAGAACAGAAAAGGGAUAAUUCUGAGUAGAUGAAUUAGCAGAACAGAUUUGGAAGCUUGGUCCAGGAAAAAUGUUGGAGCUGGGGAGGGAGGGAUAGAGUAAUAUUGCAACAGUAUUGGAAGAAUCAUCCUCACUGGAAAAGAGGUUGUGGGUUUAUUAUUAUUAUUAUUAUUAUUAUUUUAAUUUUUUUAAUGACUCCAGAUUCUGUUGUGUGCCUCAUGUCUGAAAACAUAGGCUGAUCAAAUUGUGUAGCAGGUUGUUAUCAAGGUCUCACUGUCCACAAUUAGCAACAUCCUAAGCUUUUAUUUUGGUGGAGAUGAUGUUCUGAUCUGGUUUGUGUUCUGCUUUCAGCAAUUGUUACACUUGUUUCUAGGAUUUUAUCCCAUACAAGUUUAAAUACAAGUAAACUUGAGCAGAAAAUGUAUUUUAAUUCAAUAAAUUGUUGAUCUAUUCUUCAAAUAUGUUGGGAUGUUUUACUAAAGAGUCAACCCCGUGUUGCUGUGCAAUACGCAGAAUCCUCGCUGAAC